rnacentral:rRNA from 1 species
UGGUGGGUUGCCUUGUCAGGUUGAUUCCGGUAACGAACGAGACCUCAGCCUGCUAUCUAGUCACGCGUGCUCCGGCACGCGGCGGACUUCUUAGAGGGACUAUUGGCGAUUAGCCAGUGGAAGCAUGAGGCAAUAACA